AAAACUUAUUACCACAAAACACAGAUCAAGUUUUAAUUUUGAUGGCUUCACUUUAAGUGAUCCAAAAUUUUGUACCUUUAUAAUUGGAAAAAUUGCAAAUAUUUUAGGUGCCAUUCUCUAACUUGAGUUCAUUCAAAUGUUAUCAAAUUUUAUACAAUACUUAUAACAACAAAAUACAGAUCAGUUGGAAUUUUGGUAGCGUCACUAUAUCCGUUCUAGACUAGGCCCCUUUAUAUAAUAUAACUUUAUUCCAAAAAACAUGAAACCCUGACGGGUUAAAAUGCAAACAUAGUACAUUGUAUACACAAGUGACAAGAAACAUAAUACAUGAUAAAUGUUUUAAUAAAUGGAAAAAUUUCAAAAUCCUCAACUUUAUUUUAUCAAACGUAUACACAAUGCUUAUUACCAUAAAACACAGA
rnacentral:lncRNA from 1 species